AGGACGAACGCUGGCGGCGUGCUUACACAUGCAAGUCGAACGAUGAUGCCCAGCUUGCUGGGCGGAUUAGUGGCGAACGGGUGAGUAAUACGUGAGUAACCUGCCCUUGACUCUGGGAUAAGCCUGGGAAACUGGGUCUAAUACUGGAUACUACCUCCUGCCGCAUGGUGGGUGGUGGAAAGGGUUUUACUGGUUUUGGAUGGGCUCACGGCCUAUCAGCUUGUUGGUGGGGUAAUGGCUCACCAAGGCGACGACGGGUAGCCGGCCUGAGAGGGUGACCGGCCACACUGGGACUGAGACACGGCCCAGACUCCUACGGGAGGCAGCAGUGGGGAAUAUUGCACAAUGGGCGGAAGCCUGAUGCAGCGACGCCGCGUGAGGGAUGACGGCCUUCGGGUUGUAAACCUCUUUCAGUAGGGAAGAAGCGAGAGUGACGGUACCUGCAGAAGAAGCGCCGGCUAACUACGUGCCAGCAGCCGCGGUAAUACGUAGGGCGCAAGCGUUGUCCGGAAUUAUUGGGCGUAAAGAGCUCGUAGGCGGUUUGUCGCGUCUGCUGUGAAAGCCCGGGGCUCAACCCCGGGUCUGCAGUGGGUACGGGCAGACUAGAGUGCAGUAGGGGAGACUGGAAUUCCUGGUGUAGCGGUGAAAUGCGCAGAUAUCAGGAGGAACACCGAUGGCGAAGGCAGGUCUCUGGGCUGUUACUGACGCUGAGGAGCGAAAGCAUGGGGAGCGAAC
rnacentral:rRNA from 1 species